GGGAAGAUUUUCCGUUUUCCAGGUUUCCCAAGGGAAACGAAGAACGGGAGUGGGAGAAUCGAUGACUGGACCUCUAAUAGAUGUUGGACGACUUAAAAAAAAAAAAAAAAAAAAAGUAUCGGCCCUACCCUCGAGGAUUUGACAAAUUAAGCUGGCCAGAGUGAUAAGAGAUACAGGCAGAAGAGGAGACAUAGAGGAGAAGGUGACAUGAAAAGGGAGGCAGAGAUCACAGUGAUGUGGCUAUAAGCCAAGGAAUACCAAAGCCAUCAGAAGCUGGAAGAGGACAUCACUGAAUUUGAUGCCUCACAAUUGUUGUGCUGUCCCUUCCCCAAUGCCCAGAGAUGCUCCACUCCACACUGUUGCUGGGGAGUUGGGGAGAGGUAGUGUCAGUGAUUCAAGUGAGAAAACACCAAGAGAUGAACAGACUUCAAAUCAGUAUAAACAUGUGAUCCACCAUCAUGAGCGUAAGACAGAAGAAGGCAGUCCUGACAACUACAUUUAAAGACUGCUGCAAUUAUGAGAGGCAAUCAGCAGAUAGAGAUUGUGAAUGGCUUAUAUAGGAGAUAAGGGCCCAUGGAUUUUGAACUUGUUCCUUACAGUAUGUAUAAAUUACUAGUUAACUUUUUGGUUGUACACUUGUCACUUCCCCAUAUCUAUACUUCCUGUAUAUGGAACAUGCAUGAAUUGUGCAUGAGAUGUAUACUGCUUGAGUUUAGUCAUAGCCAUUUAUUAUUUUCAAGAACUAUUUGUUCAUCUUUGUACUAAGAUUCAUGUUUUAUUAUUUGCCAAAGUUAAAUCUUUGCUUGAAACAUAUUGCAACUAAUGCAUUUUCCAACCCUGCUCAUAACCAGAGAUCUGUGACCUUACAGCCACCAGGAAUGCUGAACAAUCAUCUGAGGACAUCAUUGGGUAUCACUGGCAAAGAGGAGAGAUGAAGAAAAGAUAAGAAAAAGAAAUGAAAGUGGAAGAGGGCAGAAAGAGAGAAACAAAAAUAAGGAGAGUUUUCAGGAGGAGAAAAUAAAGAGAAGACAGAAAAGGAAGUGUCAGGCAAGGAAGCAAAUACAGAUGUAAUCCAGUUGGGAUACCAGGCUUUCAUUAGGAUAUUCUCUCUCUUUUUCUCCUCAGAUCCACAUUUGUCAGGAUGCCAGUUCACCUAAUCAUAUCUGCCAUAUAUUUUCCAUCUAAGUCACCUUGACAAGCUAUCAUUAACCUGGUAGCCCCUGUGUGUCUCAGAAUCCACUCUUCUCCCCACCUACUGGCAUGUAUAUUUAUUUUUAUGUAAGUAUUUCUGCUGGAAUUUGUCUAUUAUUGUACUUUAUUCACCCUUCUUCCUUUCUUGCCACUAAUAAAAUUGCAGUUUCAUGGAAGUUUCAGGUUGAACCUUCAUGCCACCUGUUAAUACAGAUAAUUUUUUAUCUACCCAGCUUGCCUUGACCUGGUAUAAUUUGUUUGCUCUCAACAACUCUACUUCAAUUUUUUAAAAAUGAUCACCUUGUUUUGUAAUACCAUAGCAAUAAAGUAUGUACUUA